rnacentral:rRNA from 1 species
AGCGGCGUAAGGGAGAGUAACACGCGGGUACCUACCCUCGGGACCGGGAUAGCUGCGGGAAACUGCAAUUAAUACCGGAUAAUGUCCCAGGACCAAAGGUGUGAUUCCGCCUGAGGAGGGGCCCACGUCCUAUCAGCUAGUUGGUGAGGUAAUGGCUCACAAAGGCUACGACGGGUACGGGGUGUGAGAGCAUGCCCCCGCUCACUGGGACUGAGACACUGCCCAGACACCUACGGGUGGCUGCAGUCGAGAAUCUUCCGCAAUGGGCGAAAGCCUGACGGAGCGACGCCGCGUGCGGGAUGAAGGCCUUCGGGUUGUAAACCGCUGUCAGAGGGGAACAAGUCCAUGGUGGUUCUCUGCCAUGGUUGAGUGAUCCUCAGAGGAAGCGCAGGCUAAGUCCGUGCCAGCAGCCGCGGUAACACGGACUGCGCGAACGU